ACGUAGGGUGCAAGCGUUAAUCGGAAUUACUGGGCGUAAAGCGUGCGCAGGCGGUUUUGUAAGUCAGAUGUGAAAUCCCCGGGCUUAACCUGGGAACUGCGUUUGAAACUACAAGGCUAGAGUGUGGCAGAGGGGGGUGGAAUUCCACGUGUAGCAGUGAAAUGCGUAGAGAUGUGGAGGAACACCAAUAGCGAAGGCAGCUCGCUGGGACGGUACUGACGCUGAGGCGCGAAAGCGUGGGGAGCAAACAGGA
rnacentral:rRNA from 1 species